AACCUCCGCAAUGUGAGAAAUCGCGACGGGGGGAUCCCAAGUGCCAUUCUUAACGGGAUGGCUUUUCAUUAGUGUAAAGAGCUUUUGGAAUAAGGGCUGGGCAAGACCGGUGCCAGCCGCCGCGGUAACACCGGCAGCUCUAGUGGUAGCAGUUUUUAUUGGGCCUAAAGCGUCCGUAGCCGGUUUAAUAAGUCUCUGGUGAAAUCCUGUAGCUUAACUGUGGGAAUUGCUGGAGAUACUAUUAGACUUGAGACCGGGAGAGGUUAGAGGUACUCCCAGGGUAGAGGUGAAAUUCUGUAAUCCUGGGAGGACCGCCUGUUGCGAAGGCGUCUAACUGGAACGGUUCUGACGGUGAGGGACGAAAGUUAGGGGCGCGAACCGGAUUAGGAUACCCGGGUAGUCCUAACUGUAACGAUGCGGACUUGGUGUUGGGGUGGCUUUGAGCUGCUCCAGUGCCGAAGGGAAGCUGUUAAGUCCGCCGCCUGGGAAGUACGGUCGCAAGACUGAAACUUAAAGGAAUU
rnacentral:rRNA from 1 species